AAAAUGUUCUUCCUUUUCAUUAUAUUGGGGGCUAGAUCUACUAUUAAAUAAUAGCAGAUUAAAUAAUAGCAGAUCUAGCCCCCAAUAUAAUGAAAAGGAAGAACAUUUU